UACGAAGGGGGCUAGCGUUGUUCGGAAUUACUGGGCGUAAAGGGCGCGUAGGCGGUGUGUCAAGUCAGGCGUGAAAGCCCCGGGCUCAACCUGGGAACCGCGCUUGAGACUGGCACGCUAGAGUUCGGGAGAGGAUGGUGGAAUUCCCAGUGUAGAGGUGAAAUUCGUAGAUAUUGGGAAGAACACCGGUUUCUUAGGCAGCCUUUUGGACCGACACUGACGCUGAGGCGCGAAAGCGUGGGGAGCAAACAGG
rnacentral:rRNA from 1 species